rnacentral:rRNA from 1 species
CCUACGGGUGGCAGCAGUGGGGAAUAUUGCACAAUGGGGGAAACCCUGAUGCAGCAACGCCGCGUGAGUGAAGAAGUAUUUCGGUAUGUAAAGCUCUAUCAGCAGGGAAGAAAAUGACGGUACCUGAGUAAGAAGCCACGGCUAACUACGUGCCAGCAGCCGAGGUAAUACGGAGGGGGCAAGCGUUAUCCGGAUUUACUGGGUGUAAAGGGAGCGUAGACGGCGAUACAAGUCUGAAGUGAAAGCCCGGGGCUCAACCCCGGGACUGCUUUGGAAACUGUGUUGCUGGAGUGCUGGAGAGGCAGGCGGAAUGCCUAGUGUAGCGGUGAAAUGCGUAGAUAUUAGGAAGAACACCAGUGGCGAAGGCGGCUUGCUAGACAGUAACUGACGUUGAGGCUCGAAAGCGUGGGGAGCAAACAGGAUUAGAUACCCCAGUAGUC